AAGAUCAAAUCUUCGUAUUUUCUUCGAAUCCAGGUAUGAGAGUAGUUUCCUUAAUCGUGGGUGAUCCGAGGAAGGGGAGAAUGUCGAUUUCUCCUCACCCGAACUUCCUCCACCCCAUUUUCGUUUUAGAUUGGAAUGGAUUUUCUUGAUGAAAAUUGUUCCUAAGGUUCUUGAUAUGUUUAACAUGCUUGUAACAUGAUUAAUGAACGGAAAUAAUGGUUAAAAACGAGUUUUCUAA
rnacentral:lncRNA from 1 species